rnacentral:rRNA from 1 species
AGUAGUUUGACUCCUGGCUCAGGACGAACGCUGGCGGCGUGCUUAACACAUGCAAGUCGAACGGGCACUUCGGUGUCAGUGGCGAACGGGUGAGUAAAGCGCAGGUAAUCUGCCGCAAAGUCGGGGACAACGUUCCGAAAGGGGCGCUAAUACCGGAUGUUGUGCAGAGGUUGCAUGACCUUUGCAUUAAAGAUUUAUCGCUUUGCGAGGAGCCUGCGUCCGAUUAGGUAGUUGGUGGGGUAAGAGCUCACCAAGCCGACGAUCGGUAGCCGGUCUGAGAGGAUGAACGGCCACAAUGGAACUGAGACACGGUCCAUACUCC